GGGGAUGUGGCUCAGUGGUAGAGCGCCCGCUUUGCAUCUAGCAUGUCUGCGGGAGGCCCAGGUUUCGAUCACCUGCUUCUCCA